rnacentral:rRNA from 1 species
UGGGGAAUAUUGCACAAUGGGCGCAAGCCUGAUGCAGCGACGCCGCGUGGGGGAUGACGGCCUUCGGGUUGUAAACCUCUUUCAGCAGGGACGAAGCGAAAGUGACGGUACCUGCAGAAGAAGCACCGGCCAACUACGUGCCAGCAGCCGCGGUAAUACGUAGGGUGCGAGCGUUGUCCGGAAUUACUGGGCGUAAAGAGCUCGUAGGUGGUUUGUCGCGUUGUUCGUGAAAACCGGGGGCUUAACCCUCGGCGUGCGGGCGAUACGGGCAGACUAGAGUACUGCAGGGGAGACUGGAAUUCCUGGUGUAGCGGUGGAAUGCGCAGAUAUCAGGAGGAACACCGGUGGCGAAGGCGGGUCUCUGGGCAGUAACUGACGCUGAGGAGCGAAAGCGUGGGGAGCGAACAGGAUUAGAUACCCUGGUAGUCCACGCCGUAAACGGUGGGUACUAGGUGUGGGUUUCCUUCCUUGGGAUCCGUGCCGUAGC